AGGAAGCCUGGCCCUGAGCUAACAUCUGUGCCCAUCUUCCUCUACUUUCUAUGUGGGACGCCUACCACAGCAUUGUGUGCCAAGCGGUGCACAGGUCCACACCCGGGAUCCGAACCAGCGAACCCCAGGCCACCGAGAAGCAGAACAUGUGCACUUAACUGCUGCACCACCGGGCUGGCCCCAAGGACCCACAUCUUUGACCUCUCAGUUUUCUAAACCAAUCUCCUUCUUUUGAUAAAGAGAGGAAACUGGGAUUCCAGAAAUUGAAGUUAUCUGCCCAGGAACACAAGGAUACUGAAUCCAAUCCAAGGAGAAAAAUAAGUGUGAUCUCAAGGGAAUACAUCUUAUUGAUUAUAGAAAAGAAAGGGGAGCAAGUUCAAUUGGCUCACACUACUUGGUCCUGACAUAGACGCAACUGUGCUGAGGAGAAAAUGAGAAUGAGAUACAAAUGUGCUACAGGCUUGGGAACAAAGUUUUUCUGCAGCUGAGUAUAAGCCAUGAAAGAAGUAAGGAAACAUUCAACCAG
rnacentral:lncRNA from 1 species